UAAUUAUGUUGCAAUACUACUUCAAUAUAUGUAUUUAUAAAAACAAUUCUUUAUAGGAAGGAUCACCUAGGAAAAGAAGACGAACUGCUGAAGAUUUUUUUACAUUUUGCAAAUACAUUUUAGAAUAUGAAAAUUAUGAAGCUACAAAAGAAGAGGAAAUGCAUCAAACCAGCCCUGUUGGGAGUACUGAAAGUGGAGAAUUUACAUUUUCAUCGGAGAGCAAUGGCAGCACAUCCCAAUCAGUAAUAAAAACUACUGAUAUUGAAUCUGUUUCUUAGAAAGGAGCAGAUACUUAGUAAAUCAAGUGCCAGCAUAUUUCAAACAAAAAAUUUUAUAAUGUAUCUCUUAUUACUUUAAAUGUUUUUAUAACCUAUUUUACAUUGUAAAAUUAUUAAACUACAGUAAAAUCUCAAUUUAUUGCUAUUAUUUGAUUACCUCCUGAAAUUGAUACUUCAGUAUUACACUCAAUUUAGUAUUUCAAAUAUAUAUAUAUAUGAUAAUGAGAUCUUAAUACAAAUGUGAGUUUGGAAGCCUGAAAGUUAUGUGAUUUAGUCAUAACAAUGUUGUUUGCAAUGCAAAACUACAUUUAUACUUUUUUCUUUUAAAUCAGUCAAUUAGCAUUGUCACCCAUUUUGGCCUUCUGCCCCUACCUGCUGCUAACAAACUCAAUAAAGUUUUUUGUUUUUUUAAUGAACUUGCUAACGUACCUUUUACCAGUUCUGCAAUUGUGGCCCAAAUUAAACUGGGAUUUCCUGAUUUAUGUAAUUGUAUUGCAUAUUUUUAUCAAAUUUUAUACUUAAAAAAAAUCAAUAAAAACUAUAAUCUCCUGUAGUGUUGGUCUUCAUGUCCUAUGCUACCAAAUUCAAUACCUAUAAAUACAAUCUGUUGAAAAUUUAAAUUGAAUAUUCUGACAUUGAAUUUAUAAAAAUUAAAAAUUUUUUAGUUAUAAAUUCCA